rnacentral:rRNA from 1 species
UACGCAGGGAGCUAGCGCUGUUCGGAAUCACUGGGCGUAAAGCGCACGCACGCGGAUCGAUAAGUCGGGGGUGAAAGCCCGGGGCUCAACCUCGGAAUUGCCUUCGAUACUGUCGGUCUCGAGUCCGGGAGAGGUGAGUGGAAUUCCUAGUGUAGAGGUGAAAUUCGUAGAUAUUAGGAAGAACACAAGUGGCGAAGGCGGCUCACUGGCCGGGUACUGACGCUCAGGUGCGAAAGCGUGGGGAGCAAACAGG